GAAAUAUAUUGUGAACAAUUAAGAGUCAUGAGAACUGCAUAGCAAGCCAGGUCAAGAGUAUUCCCUGCAUUUUCCUAUGUAUGUUCAUGAAGCUAGCCCUAGCAACCAUCUUUAGAAAGGUCUCAUUGAUACAGGGGAGAAAGCCCUGACACUCCCUGGAAGUUACCUUCUGAUUUUUCUUCUUUGGUGAACCAAACACCGUUAUGUUUCCCAUAGACACUCUUGAAGAUACUUGCUUUGCUUUAAUAAUCUUUGGAUAGAGACUUAUUCCUGAUGACUUUACCAUGAUAACAACCUGGACAAUUAAGCCCCUGUAUUACUCCUCCAUUAGGUCUGUGAAAAGCUCAUCUCCUACCCAUGAUUGAAUAGAAAUCGUGCUCAUGCGUGGUAGUUAACUGUUCUGUCAACUUGACUAAGGAAUGUCUAAGCAUGGCUUAUCAUAGUUCUGGGUGUGCCUGAAUGGAUUUACUGAAGACAGAAGACCCACCAUGGGUGUGAGUGGCAUCAUCCAAUAGGCUUGUAGCCUGAAUGGAAUAAGCAGCAAAAGAAGGAAGGCUCACUUGCUUUAGGAGGAGCUGCAGUCCUUGCCAUUAUCUUGGAUUUCUGUCUCCUGGCUUCCAGCACAGACUCUUUGGCUUCUUGACACUGAUUUGUACAAGACCCUACAGUGAGCUCCAGACCUUGGACUUCUGACUGGAUCUGUCCAUCCAAUCUCCAGUGGGCAGAUGGCCCUUCUUCACUCUUCUACACCUGACUUUCCAGGUGGCCAUUGCUUUGUUUCCAUUGUUUUUGUUUUCUCAUAUUUAUUCCUUUCCCUUCUUUCCUUUCCCCUACCCCUCCCACUUCCCCUUCCCCUUCCUCUUCGGACCUCUUUUCCCUAUUUCACAUUAGCAACCACUGUGAAAAUCAGUAUAUAGAUACCUCAAAGAGGUCCCAUCUGACCCAGCUAUUCCCCUGCUGGGCAUCUUCCCAAAAGAAUUAAAAGAAUCAUACCACAGCAAUAUACGUGAACCCAUGUUUAUAGCGGCACUGUUUGGAAUAGCUAAAGCUUGGAAACAGCCCAAUUGUCCAUCAACUGGAGACUGGAUAAAGAAAAUGUGGUUUUUUAAUAUACAUUUUU
rnacentral:lncRNA from 1 species